GGGGCAGAAAAGAAAGAAGGAACCAGAGAGAAGGACCCAAGGCUGCAGAUCUGGAAAGGCAAGAGGAUGGCCCAGUACCUGCCCGCCAUACUGCCGAAUCCAGAUUGAAGUCCAGAAAAAGAAAAGGGUAUCUGUGUCACCUCUGGCUCCAAGGUCUGCCCACUCUGGUGUCCCUGUGCUGCCCCUCCAUAGCGCCUUGAAGAAGAAGACCCUCUGGAGGAGCUUCCAUCUGUCUCCAGAGUUCCCACAUCUAGCUGUUCUCCCUUUAUCAGAAGAAGCUCUUUCCUUAUUGCCUUA